rnacentral:rRNA from 1 species
AUUGAACGCUGGCGGCAGGCUUAACACAUGCAAGUCGAACGAGCGGCGGACGGGUGAGUAAUGUCUGGGAAACUGCCUUAUGGAGGGGGAUAACUACUGGAAACGGUAGCUAAUACCGCAUACCAUAAGAUGUGCCCAGGUGGGAUUAGGUAGUAGGUGGGGUAAUGGCUCACCUAGCGGACGAUCCCUAGCUGGUCUGAGAGGAUGACCAGCCACACUGGAACUGAGACACGGCCCAGACGCCUACGGGAGGCAGCAGUGGGGAAUAUUGCACAAUGGGCGCAAGCCUGAUGCAGCCAUGCCGCGUGAGUGAAGAAGGCCUUCGGGUUGUAAAGCACUUUCAGCGAGGAGGCGUUACUCGCAGAAGAAGCACCGGCUAACUCCGUGCCAGCAGCCGCGGUAAUUC